CAGCAGCCGCGGGAACACGAAGGGUGCAAGCGUUACUCGGAAUUACUGGGCGUAAAGCGUGCGUAGGUGGUGGUUUAAGUCCGUUGUGAAAGCCCUGGGCUCAACCUGGGAAUUGCAGUGGAUACUGGGUCACUAGAGUGUGGUAGAGGAUAGUGGAAUUUCCGGUGUAGCAGUGAAAUGCGUAGAGAUCGGAAGGAACAUCUGUGGCGAAGGCGACUAUCUGGGCCAACACUGACACUGAGGCACGAAAGCGUGGGGAGCAAACAGGAUUAGAUACCCGUGUAGUCCCUGUCUCUUAUAA
rnacentral:rRNA from 1 species